UAGAGAUCCAAGAUGGACUCUACUGUAUUUUCAAUUAAGGACUCUGUUUUUGUUUCUCAUCUGUUUGAAAGCAAACUUUUGUACAAUGUGUAAAAACUUGAAACUGUUAGA